UCGAUCCCAGGACUCUGGGAUCAUGACCUGAGCUGAAGGCAGACACUUAACAACUGAGCCACCCAGGCGCCCCUCCUAUGAAGUUUCUUUAUGCCUUCUCUUUUUUCUUUGAUCAGGUUCUACAGAGAAAUUCUGCUGCUCAUUGUAUCAAGACUGUUUUCAAUAUUUUAUUUACUUAGAGAAAGCACAUGACCGGGGGAAGGGCAGAGGAAGAG